AAGAGUUCAGGAAUCAGUGUUUGGUGGAAAAACCAGGUUUUCAAUGCGGUUCAGUGCAGUGGGCUCUUAAUGUGUUCCAGAGCUGUCUAAUGUGAAAUUCACUUAGUUGAAACUUUACUGUUUCAACUUCCUGACUUAAUAUACACAAUUUUAUACAACAUGAAGCUUCCAGAUUUAGAUCCAACAAGAAGAAAAGAGAUUGUGAGAGAAUGAUGACAGCCAGAAACUUGUCCAGCUCACCUCCUGUAAUGUAUGCAGAGAUAAUGGGUUAAAAUCAUAAUUAAAAGGCUCAGCUCCAGUGGUGGGAGCUUAAAGAGGUUCAGUGCAUAGAAAACAUUAGCUGAAUAAAUCCACUCUAAAGAAAAAAACCCUCAUACCUAAUAUCUUUAAUUUGUCUGAGCUCAUGUCUCAUAUCAUUCUGAUAAAAGCAUUUCUGCUCAAUAAAGAGUCGGACACAGAAGCGCUGACUAACAUAAAUA